CAUGGCAGNUCGAAGCGGUACANAAUGGGGAAGCCUUGCUCCCCUGUAUGCUUANCGAGCNGCACGGACUGGAGUUAACACGUUGUGGUUAACCAUGCCGUGCUAAGACCUNGNUAUAACUCCGGGAAACCGGGGCUAAUACCGGAUGCUUGUUUGAACCGCAUGGUUCAAACAUAAAAGGUGGCUUCGGCUACCACUUACAGAUGGACCCGCGGCGCAUUAGCUAGUUGGUGAGGUAAUGGCUCACCAAGGCAACGAUGCGUAGCCGACCUGAGAGGGUGAUCGGCCACACUGGGACUGAGACACGGCCCANACUCCUACGGGAGGCAGCAGUANGGAAUCUUCCGCAAUGGACGAAAGUC
rnacentral:rRNA from 1 species